rnacentral:rRNA from 1 species
UACGGGGGGAGCAAGCGUUGUUCGGAGUUACUGGGCGUAAAGGGUGUGUAGGCGGUUGUUUAAGUUUGGUGUGAAAUCUCCCGGCUCAACUGGGAGGGUGCGCCGAAUACUGAAUGACUAGAGUGCGGGAGAGGAAAGUGGAAUUCCUGGUGUAGCGGUGAAAUGCGUAGAUAUCAGGAGGAACACCGGUGGUGUAGACGGCUUUCUGGACCGUAACUGACGCUGAGACACGAAAGCGUGGGUAGCAAACAGG